rnacentral:tRNA from 2 species
GUGGUUGUAGCUCAGUUGGUUAGAGCGCUGGAUUGUGGUUCCAGAGGUCGCCGGUUCGAACCCGGUCUUCCACCCCA